GAAGCGAGCCCUGAGAUGAGUCUUCCCUGAUACUUUAAGUAUCCUAAAGGGUUGUCGGAGACUACGACGUUGAUAGGUCAGGUGUGUAAGUGCUGUGAGGCAUUGAGCUAACUGAUACUAAUUGCCCGUGAGGCUUAACCAUACAACACCCAAGGGGUUU
rnacentral:rRNA from 1 species